AUGUCACACAGGGUCUUGUUACCACUCCUCCAGAUGCCUGCAUCCUUUGGGUGACAGGGACAGAAUGAGUCUCCUCCACUGCCUGGAUGUUUCCCCAAAAUGGAUUCUGCAGGAGAUGAGUCUGGGGCUCUCGUUGGUUCAGAUGACUUCAGCAUAUUUUAGGAGCCUAUGAGGACCCUGCACUUAGCGGUCAGAGUCUGGAGUCUUUGGUCCAAGAUCAGGAUGAGGGUCCUGCCAGAAGACAGACCCAGGCCUCUGGAAGCUUGCAUGGUACUUCUCUGGACUUGAUGGCAUCCUGAGCUUUAGGGUAAAUGUAAGUGGUGAAGAUACUAAGCAGAGACUACUGGUAAAGGAAGGUGAGGUUGCUGAAGCAGGAGAGCAAGGACUUCCUGGAGACCUGAGCAAUGAGGAGGGACAGCCAUGUGAAGAGGAGUAGUCCAGGCAGAGGGCCCUGAUCUGCAGCCAUCCUGACUGGUGUGAGGGGCAAAUGGAAGGCACAGCAGAUGACAGAGGACAAAAGGAGAUGGUUUGGUAAGGGAACAUGCACAAUUUUGAACUGAGGUAUGGAGUAGGGAUUUUAUUCAAAUUGGGCUGAGAAGCCACUGGAACAAUCAGGCACAUGGUAGGAUCUGCUAUGAAUUUUAAUUAGAUAAUUCUGGUCUGUGAGAAGACUCCUUUAUAUAGGUAAAGGAGUGAA